UUGAAUCAUCUCAGCUCUCAUAUCACGUAUGACGCGCCUACGUCACGUCGUCACAACCUGAAGCUAAAGUGGCGAGAGAGCCGUCUCGGCUCGAGCGCGGUCCGGAUUUUAGCUCCACACUGUCGCCAGCCAGACUCCCCACCACAGUGACACAAACCAACCAGCCGCCUCGAGAGGUUGCUGAAGAGGUAUGCAGCGAUGGUCUGGAGGAAAAAAUAGUCACAUGGACUGGUGUGCAUUCCAGUACUUGAAAUGAUGCUGUUGCUCAGGCACAUCCAGGUGCGAGGAUGGGGGAGAUCCGGAUGUCGCUAAAUAAAAGAAUCUGUGAACUGCUUCACCAAGAGAAAAAGAAGUCCAUGGACAGGCCUAUGAGCCCUCUUGUUGACCUUGAGUGACUGAGGCUGCGGGCGGUCUGCCCCUGAAUUCACCUUCACUUUCACUUUUUUUUUAUUUUUUUUUUUUUU